AGCGAACGCUGGCGGCAGGCUUAACACAUGCAAGUCGAACGGGCACUUCGGUGCUAGUGGCAGACGGGUGAGUAACACGUGGGAACGUACCUUUCGGUUCGGAAUAAUACAGGGAAACUUGUACUAAUACCGGAUACGCCCUUCGGGGGAAAGAUUUAUCGCCGAUUGAUCGGCCCGCGUCUGAUUAGCUAGUUGGUGGGGUAAUGGCUCACCAAGGCGACGAUCAGUAGCUGGUCUGAGAGGAUGAUCAGCCACACUGGGACUGAGACACGGCCCAGACUCCUACGGGAGGCAGCAGUGGGGAAUAUUGGACAAUGGGCGCAAGCCUGAUCCAGCCAUGCCGCGUGUGUGAUGAAGGCCUUAGGGUUGUAAAGCACUUUUGUCCGGGAAGAUAAUGACUGUACCGGAAGAAUAAGCCCCGGCUAACUUCGUGCCAGCCGCCGCCGUAA
rnacentral:rRNA from 1 species